UUGAGCUAAUGAAGGCUUGAUGCGUGGUCCAUUUUAGAGAUUCAUACUGACUUGACGUCCUCCAAGAGAUGUGCAUCCUUCUAUUUGAAGGGGUGACUUCUUUUGUUUUAUUCUCCUUACUCGGCAAACUCCUAUGAAAUCUUUUCUUCCUUCAUCAUUUUUCUUGCUUCAAAGCUCCCACAAAUAGAUUUUCUUCUUUGUCCACCGU
rnacentral:lncRNA from 1 species